ensembl:lncRNA
CCGUCUGGGCGAACAUCCACAUUACAAUCAAAGGUUCUGAGAGAUCUUGACCCUUGAUGUUCCAAGGAGGAAGAGGGGCUUUGAUCAUAACCCCCCCAUUAUAUUACCUACCUUGCGUUACAACUGUUGUAAUGUACUACUAGGUUGUCAAUAAACCUCAUCACCCAUUGGCUCCUCUUAAUUAAUGGUUAAUGCGUUCUGACCGGUAGCUCACCGAGAUCCCGUAAAUCAACUCAGACCUCUGUAUUCAAGCACCUUGAUUCUCGAAACAGAAUCACAGUCCAUAAUCUGCCUCUCAACCAGCUUUCCUUCCAACAAGACUUGAAUAAAAGCCUUUCAAGCUUUGGGUGGAGCUACUUUUUGUCAAAAUCACAAGCAGGUAAACACCUCAUACCUCCAGAAGGAGUGGUUUGGGAGUGGACUGGUGUAAGAAUUAUCGUUUAUGCUCAGACAGGUCUGAAAUAUUCUGCUUCCCACAAUCAGAUGAUCUAACGCAGUCCAGAACACAAACCUGAAACCAUGUUUUAACAGAAAAUCUGAGGACGUAUGAGGAUCUAUCUUUUUCCUCCAGAGGAUGACGAGCCCUUAUUACCCUUAUGCUAAGGUAAAGUUCAAUUUUAUCUUUUUGCAAUCUUGGACUUUACACUGACGCUGGUGAUCAGAGGAUAAACUCUGGGUUAAUGGCGGAGAGACAAUUAAACUUCGCAGCACACACUCACAAGCUCAUUAUCAGCAUGCUGCUGUAGCUAUUACAAGGCCGAUAAGAUUGCCUUCUUUUUAAAAAAAAUAUUUAUAAGGCCUGAAGCCUGCUCAGCAGAUUAAACUCAUCAUUUUACAAGAUUUAUGUUCAAAGAUGGGGCACUCUUUAUCUCCAGAGCUUUACAUUAUCUUAUUUACGGCGUACGAAUGCAAACUCUGUUGACAUGUGAUACAGGCAUUUAAAUUCCAAAUUAAAUGGUCAUUUAUCAAAUUAAUCUGCACCGGCAUUAUCAUUUCAUCACAGUGCUGAGAUUAACAACAAAGCAUUUUAAUACCUAUCAGCAAUUAGAGUCAGAACAUGAGCCAACUUCUCUGCACCACUGAUUAGCUAUGAUAUGUGAUAUAUUUGUAUCUAUACUUGUUCCAUAAAUAAUAAUGAGGGAAAAAAAAGGAAAAUGGCACGAUAAUCAACAAUGAUUAAGACCAGUAAAUAUUUAACUUUUCGACACUUUUUGUACCAAUACGUGUAGAUUCUGGUGUGCAAAAAUGAUCAUUGUCUACAUUUCUAUUACAUCACAAGAUAUUUGUGCAGUUUUUUCAUGUAUUGUUAUCCCUGGUGAAAAAAUAACAAAUGCUACAGAGCAGAACAGACAUUCCCUGCAUGGAAUUAAUUGGAAUAAGCCAAACUAAACAUAACUGCAUUCUUUUACAAAAUAAAAAUAAAAAUGCAAGUUUAAUUAAAUGCAAAAUAGGAAUUAAACUGCCUAACUUUUGAAAUAAAACUAAAAUAUCUACAUUUUAAUACCUAAUUUAUACUUAACAGUUACACUUUAAAAAAAAAAAAAAGUAUUCCUACUUUAUGCAGUUAUGCAGCGCUAACCUUGUUUCCCAGACAGGACCGUGACUGCGCAUGUGCAGAGCGGCCGUUCCUGGUGAGGUUACCCUCAUGUUGAGAA